rnacentral:rRNA from 1 species
GCCCAACUGAUUGAUGGUGCUUGCACCUGAUUGACGUUGGAUCACCAGUGAGUGGCGGACGGGUGAGUAACACGUAGGUAACCUGCCCCAAAGCGGGGGAUAACAUUUGGAAACAGAUGCUAAUACCGCAUAACAACAAAAGCUGCAUGGCUUUGUUUGAAAGAUGGCUUUGGCUAUCGCUUUGGGAUGGACCUGCGGUGCAUUAGCUAGUUGGUAAGGUAAUGGCUUACCAAGGCGAUGAUGCAUAGCCGAGUUGAGAGACUGAUCGGCCACAAUGGAACUGAGACACGGUCCAUACUCCUACGGGAGGCAGCAGUAGGGAAUCUUCCACAAUGGGCGCAAGCCUGAUGGAGCAACACCGCGUGAGUGAAGAAGGGUUUCGGCUCGUAAAGCUCUGUUGUUGGAGAAGAAUGUGCGCGAGAGUAACUGUUCGCGCAGUGACGGUAUCCAACCAGAAAGUCACGGCUAACUACGUG